rnacentral:rRNA from 1 species
GAGACAGCAGUCGCCGCGGGAAUACGUAGGUGGCAAGCGUUGUCCGGAAUUAUUGGGCGUAAAGGGCUCGCAGGCGGUUUCUUAAGUCUGAUGUGAAAGCCCCCGGCUCAACCGGGGAGGGUCAUUGGAAACUGGGAAACUUGAGUGCAGAAGAGGAGAGUGGAAUUCCACGUGUAGCGGUGAAAUGCGUAGAGAUGUGGAGGAACACCAGUGGCGAAGGCGACUCUCCGGUCUGUAACUGACGCUGAGGAGCGAAAGCGUGGGGAGCAAACAGGAUUAGAUACCCCAGUAGUCCCUGUCUCUUAUAC